UCCCUUGCCAUGCCUUAGUAGCGGCGAGUGAGCGGCAAAAGCUCAAAUUUGAAAUCUGGCUCUUUCAGAGUCCGAGUUGUAAUUUGAAGAAGGUAUCUUUGGGUCUGGCUCUUGUCUAUGUUUCUUGGAACAGAACGUCACAGAGGGUGAGAAUCCCGUGCGAUGAGAUGAUCCAGGCCUAUGUAAAGUUCCUUCGAAGAGUCGAGUUGUUUGGGAAUGCAGCUCUAAGUGGGUGGUAAAUUCCAUCUAAAGCUAAAUAUUGGCGAGAGACCGAUAGCGAACAAGUACAGUGAUGGAAAGAUGAAAAGAACUUUGAAAAGAGAGUGAAAAAGUACGUGAAAUUGUUGAAAGGGAAGGGCUUGAGAUCAGACUUGGUAUUUUGUAUGUUACUUCUUCGGGGGUGGCCUCUACAGUUUAUCGGGCCAGCAUCAGUUUGGGCGGUAGGAGAAUUGCGUUGGAAUGUGGCACGGCCUCGGUUGUGUGUUAUAGCCUUCGUCGAUACUGCCAGCCUAGACUGAGGACUGCGGUUUAUACCUAGGAUGUUGGCAUAAUGAUCUUAAGUCGCCCGUCUUGACCCCCCGAACCA
rnacentral:rRNA from 1 species